rnacentral:rRNA from 1 species
UACGUGGGGAGCAAGCGUUGUUCGGAUUUACUGGGCGUAAAGGGCGCGUAGGCGGCGUGACAAGUCACUUGUGAAAUCUCCGGGCUUAACUCGGAGCGGUCAAGUGAUACUGUCGUGCUAGAGUGCGGAAGGGGCUACUGGAAUUCUCGGUGUAGCGGUGAAAUGCGUAGAUAUCGAGAGGAAGACCUGCGGCGAAGGCGGGUAGCUGGGCCGACACUGACGCUGAGGCGCGAAAGCCAGGGGAGCGAACGGG